rnacentral:rRNA from 1 species
GACGAACGCUGGCGGCGUGCCUAAUACAUGCAAGUCGAACGCAGUGGGGCCGGGUGAGUAACACGUGGGUAACCUCCCAUCAGAGGGGAUAACACUUGGAAACAGGUGCUAAACCGAUACUGAUGGAUGGACCCGCGGUGCAUUAGCUAGUUGGUGAGGUAACGGCUCACCAAGGCCACGAUGCAUAACAGACCUGACAGCGUGAUCGAAAACACUGGGACUCGGACACGGCCCAGGCUCCAACGUGAGGCAGCAUUAGGGAAUCCUAGGCAUGGGACGAAAGUCUGACCCACCAAUGCCGCGUGAGUGAAGAAGGUUUUCGGAUGGUAAAGCUCUGUUGUUAGAGAAGCGGUAUCUAACCAGAAGGCCACGGCUAACUACGUGCCAGCAGCCGCGGUAAUUC